rnacentral:rRNA from 1 species
UAGGGAAUCUUCCGCAAUGGGCGAAAGCCUGACGGAGCAACGCCGCGUGAGUGAUGAAGGUCUUCGGAUCGUAAAACUCUGUUAUUAGGGAAGAACAAAUGUGUAAGUAACUAUGCACGUCUUGACGGUACCUAAUCAGAAAGCCACGGCUAACUACGUGCCAGCAGCCCCGGUAAUACGUAGGUGGCAAGCGUUAUCCGGAAUUAUUGGGCGUAAAGCGCGCGUAGGCGGUUUUUUAAGUCUGAUGGGAAAGCCCACGGCACAACCGUGGAGGGUCAUUGGAAACUGGAAAACUUGAGUGCAGAAGAGGAAAGUGGAAUACCAUGUGUAGCGGUGAAAUGCGCAGAGAUAUGGAGGAACACCAGGGGCGAAGGCGACUUUCUGGUCUGUAACUGACGCUGAUGUGCGAAAGCGUGGGGAUCAAACAGG